rnacentral:rRNA from 1 species
UACGUAGGCGGCAAGCGUUGUUCGGAAUUACUGGGCGUAAAGGGCGCGUAGGCGGCCUUCUAAGUCAGACGUGAAAUCCCCGGCUUAACCUGGGAACUGCGUCUGAUACUGGGAGGCUAGAGUGCGGGAGAGGGAUGCGGAAUUCCAGGUGUAGCGGUGAAAUGCGUAGAUAUCAGGAGGAACACCGGUGGCGAAGGCGGGUCUCUGGGCCGAUACUGACGCUGAGGAGCGAAAGCGUGGGGAGCGAACAGG